GUCUAACCUGCUAGAAGUUUGAGGGGGUGAAGACUGUGGCCCCGGAGCUGAAGCCCAUCAAAGUUGCUUCACCAUGGCACUUGAUCGGGGUGGACCUCAUCAGACACUUCACAAAAUCAAGGAAUGUCAACAGCUGGUGUCUGACGGAGACCGAUCACUUUACCAAGACAAGACUGGCGAGGCCAUCUCCAAGGCGAUGAUGGACAUCUUCAACACCCACGGUUCUCCUGAGGUCAUCUUGAGUGACCGAGGUCAUGAGCGCUUGAACAMGGUACGGAUGUUAUAGGUUAUAUUCUAUCACUAAGGGUUUGUUUUAUUUAUUUUUUACAAUUUGUUUUUGUUUUUCCAUGGUACAUAAUCAGACAUAUUUCAAUAUCUUACAGUGUCAAUAGAUAUCGCUUUCCUAGCCCCCUCCUCCAGGUUUGGUGAAUGGCCCAACCAGACCCUCAAGACCCUCAAGGGCAAGUCCCUUGACGGGUACCAGGAACGGUGGGAGAACAACCUGA